GUCAGUCUAGUCUAGUGGUUAAAGGUGUUCCCAGCCGAAGCGUGGGUUCGAAUCCCAGUGUCUGACCU